AAAGCUCUUUCAAUCUGACUUUUUCAAUGUCUCAAUUGCAUCUGCAUCUGCACAAAUACACAAACUUCAGAAACUCUUAGCUUAAAUGAACUUUGCUUUUCUGAUUUCUUUGUUUCCUUUGGGGUUUUUUGAUCCACUGACUGGAUGCUGAAACCUGAAUUGCAAAGCAGAAUGGCCUUGGUGAAGUAACUUCAAGGUUAACCUUGGGUUUUCAGUGUUACGAAGGUGUUUCACUUCUCAUUGGAGUACUGGUGACUCAUGCUGUAGAUGUGACCUGAUCGGGAGAAGGUUAUGUCCCAUAUAAGAGAGGAACAUUUUUAAAAAAAAAAGAAGAAGAAAGAAAGAAAGAAAGAAAAAGAAAAAAAGUCACCACUGGCUGACAAAUCAAUUCUCCGAAAAAUAGUGUCACCCUUCUCGGAAGAUCUCUUGGACCACGGUGUGCGAACAGUGCACUUUUAGCUUGUUUUGUGUUUAACCUUUAAUACUUUUCUAACAUUAUACUUUUAUCUCCCUUUGUUGUUCUGCUGCCAGUGGACCAAUUUCUGAUUGGUCAUACUUUAUCUUGCCAACACUACUUCCUUCACAUGGCUGCACUCACGGAUAGAUUUUAGCUAACAGCAACCUUUGCUUGACCGCUUAGCCUGAUUGGUAAUCUGGUAAGUAUAGCCAGAGAAAGGAAAGAUAUCCUGCACAUGAGGAACUUGUUUUGUGCUCUACACUCUCUCAUUGCAAAAAAAAAAAAAAAAAAAAAAAAAAAAAAGAGUUCAAACUGUUUCACAUGAACAGACAUAAGAAGUUUGAUAGGAAGUCGUAUUUUUUUGCCAUUUUAACUUCCUUACUCGUAUUCAUAGUUUUCAGUCACUUGACUGUCUCACCACGCUGGCAGGCAAAACAUUACUUUAUCAUAAUGGGCCAUAGUGGAAAGUCAGUAGUGCUGCAGGAAAAAGUGUUCAGGUUUUUACCACCUAUCUCAAGCCAAGACUACUUGGAUCAUCUCCCCAUGGAGGAAAAACGAAGAUAUGAAGAGAAACUACAAGUGUUGGGGACUAAUUCUGCCCCAGCAGGUUUAUCCAAGUUCCUGUAAGUGGUGACGUCUCUCCCAGAGCUCCAGUUCAGCAACAUCUAUGUGAAUCUUGUAGAGAAUGCUCA
ensembl:lncRNA